AACGAACGCUGGCGGCGUGGAUAAGACAUGCAAGUCGAACGAGAGAAUUGCUAGCUUGCUAAUAAUUCUCUAGUGGCGCACGGGUGAGUAACACGUGAGUAACCUGCCCCCGAGAGCGGGAUAGCCCUGGGAAACUGGGAUUAAUACCGCAUAGUAUCGAAAGAUUAAAGCAGCAAUGCGCUUGGGGAUGGGCUCGCGGCCUAUUAGUUAGUUGGUGAGGUAACGGCUCACCAAGGCGAUGACGGGUAGCCGGUCUGAGAGGAUGUCCGGCCACACUGGAACUGAGACACGGUCCAGACACCUACGGGUGGCAGCAGUCGAGAAUCAUUCACAAUGGGGGAAACCCUGAUGGUGCGACGCCGCGUGGGGGAAUGAAGGUCUUCGGAUUGUAAACCACUGUCAUGUGGGAGCAAAUUAAAAAGAUAGUACCACAAGAGGAAGAGACGGCUAACUCUGUGCCAGCAGCCGCGGUAAUACAGAGGUCUCAAGCGUUGUUCGGAAUCACUGGGCGUAAAGCGUGCGUAGGCUGUUUCGUAAGUCGUGUGUGAAAGGCGCGGGCUCAACCCGCGGACGGCACAUGAUACUGCGAGACUAGAGUAAUGGAGGGGGAACCGGAAUUCUCGGUGUAGCAGUGAAAUGCGUAGAUAUCGAGAGGAACACUCGUGGCGAAGGCGGGUUCCUGGACAUUAACUGACGCUGAGGCACGAAGGCCAGGGGAGCGAAAGGGAUUAGAUACCCCUGUAGUCCUGGCAGUAAACGGUGCACGCUUGGUGUGCGGGGAAUCGACCCCCUGCGUGCCGGAGCUAACGCGUUAAGCGUGCCGCCUGGGGAGUACGGUCGCAAGAUUAAAACUCAAAGAAAUUGACGGGGACCCGCACAAGCGGUGGAGUAUGUGGCUUAAUUCGAUGCAACGCGAAGAACCUUACCUGGGCUUGACAUGUAAUGAACAACAUGUGAAAGCAUGCGACUCUUCGGAGGCGUUACACAGGUGCUGCAUGGCCGUCGUCAGCUCGUGUCGUGAGAUGUUUGGUUAAGUCCAGCAACGAGCGCAACCCCUGUUGCCAGUUACCAGCACGUGAAGGUGGGGACUCUGGCGAGACUGCCCAGAUCAACUGGGAGGAAGGUGGGGACGACGUCAGGUCAGUAUGGCCCUUAUGCCCAGGGCUGCACACGUACUACAAUGCCCAGUACAGAGGGGGCCGAAGCCGCGAGGCGGAGGAAAUCCUAAAAACUGGGCCCAGUUCGGACUGUAGGCUGCAACCCGCCUACACGAAGCCGGAAUCGCUAGUAAUGGCGCAUCAGCUACGGCGCCGUGAAUACGUUCCCGGGUCUUGUACACACCGCCCGUCACAUCAUGGAAGCCGGUCGCACCCGAAGUAUCUGAAGCCAACCGCAAGGAGGCAGGGUCCUAAGGUGAGACUGGUAACUGGGAUG
rnacentral:rRNA from 1 species